UGUCCUGAUAAGAGGGUUAAUGAUGAUGAUUGGCACUCUAUGUAUAACUAUUGGAUGCCUUCUGAAUUUCAGGAUCGCUCAGAAAAAGCUAAAAUAAAUCGACAAAAGCUAAAGAUGCACCAUACAGCCGGCAGUGUGAGCUAUGCAUGUUCAGAAUAUGAUUUGGCUGUGAAACUAGGACGUCCUCCACGAAGAGAUGAAAACUUUAUCCAAACCCACACAAGAAAAAAUGGUGUUCCUACAGAACAGGCAAAACCA